rnacentral:rRNA from 1 species
UACGUAGGUGGCAAGCGUUGUCCGGAUUUACUGGGCGUAAAGAGCGCGCAGGCGGUCGUUCAAGUCGCGUGUGAAAGCCCCCGGCUCAACUGGGGAGGGUCACGCGAUACUGAUCGACUCGAAGGCAGGAGAGGGAAGUGGAAUUCCCGGUGUAGUGGUGAAAUGCGUAGAUAUCGGGAGGAACACCGGUGGCGAAGGCGGUUCUCUGGGCAUGACCUGACGCUGAGGAGCGAAAGUGUGGGGAGCGAACAGG